AAAUAUCGCCACAGAGUUUUGCAUUUAAGUUUUUUGUUAUAAAACAGGUAUCUUUUGCACAAAUUUAAGGCAAAAUGCAUUGAGAACAUUAAGGAAAUUCAAUAGGAGCAUAAAAUAUUUCAAUGAAUUAAAAUAUUUGCAAAAAACACAUGGAGCUGUCAAAUUUAGAGGAAUCGCGUACUGCGAAUUCGCGUCUACGAGUAUCGCAUACUGCGGAUAAUUGCUGUACUUUUAUUUUGUCCCUCCCCCCCCUACCUCACUCGCCCCUUAGAUCUAUUUUUAGAUCAUCAACUCCAUCGACGGCGUGUCGAUGUGUGUCGCGUGUGUGUUGUCGAUUUCGUCAGAAAAACUUUUUCCUUUCACACCAAAUCUCUGACUUGGAGUGUCGGCGUUUCGAUUGGACCAUCGCGACUUCGAUCAGUGCUCGCGGUUAAAACGACCUUUUGUAUUGAGUUAUGCGUAGCGUGGCAUAGAGGAAGAUGGAGAAAAACGAUUAUUUUGCUCCAGGUUUUCUACCUUUGUCCCACUGGGACAGAGCGACUAACGGGAGAGGAAGAGAACCAUGCUUGCGUUGCGGACAAUCGCACAAUCCCGUUACCUGUCCGGCGAGAAAUUGGUUGUGCUUCGACUGCGGCAAGAGAGGUCACGUAUACGUAAGUGUACACGAGGUCGGGGAAUGCACUGUGUUGCGCCAACAGAAGAAAUUGAUGAGUCAUCUAUGAAUAGUAAAAUAUGUGAGCGGAGUCAGAGUAGAGUACGAGAGAGACUGUGGAGCAGCCCCGAGCGUUAUUCCAGAGAAUGUUUACAUGGAAAAAUUCAUUUCUGUAGAAAUAAAUUUCUGUGCUUUCAUAUUCUGUAGAAAGCGAUAGUAUCGAGGAAAUAAAAGAAAAGUUCAAACGUG